AGUGAACGCUGGCGGUAGGCCUAACACAUGCAAGUCGAACGGCAGCACAGUAAGAGCUUGCUCUUACGGGUGGCGAGUGGCGGACGGGUGAGGAAUACAUCGGAAUCUACUUUUUCGUGGGGGAUAACGUAGGGAAACUUACGCUAAUACCGCAUACGACCUACGGUUGAAAGCAGGGGAUCUUCGGACCUUGCGCGAUUGAAUGAGCCGAUGUCGGAUUAGCUAGUUGGCUGGGUAAAGGCCCACCAAGGCGACGAUCCGUAGCUGGACUGAGAGGAUGAUCAGCGCACAUAGAAGUGAAACACGGUCCAGGCGCCUACGGGAGGCAGCAGUGGGGAAUAUUGGACAAUGGGCGCGAACCUGAUCCAGCCAUACCGCGUGGGAGAAGAAGACCUUCGGGUUGUAAAGCCCUUUUGUUGGGAGAGAAAAGCAGCAGGUUAAUACCCCGCUGUUCUGACGGUACCCAAAGAAUAAGCACCGGCUAACUUCGUG
rnacentral:rRNA from 1 species